CAGGAAAGGGCCCUGACAAGAGGAUGGGACUGCAGUUGUGGCUGCCAGGAACAGGGCCCCGGCCAGGGUGAAAACAAGGAACAUUCCAGAGAAGAUCACAAGGAUGCGAAUAAAAUCGGAGCUGCACAGGGAUCUUUGGGCUGUUGGAGUGCAGUGGCACGAUCUCGGCUCAGUGCAACCUCCGCCUCCUGAGUUCAAGUGAUUCUCCUGCCUCAGCCUCCCUAGUAGCUGGGAUUACAGGACAAGGAGAGGGACAAAUUCCUUCUUGGCAUCCUUAUGGCCCUGUGACCUGCUAAUGAAUGCUGACUCUGAGUUGCUACUAGAAUUUGGUUUCCUUGUGGCUUCCCAGGAAUUGGUCUCACUCUGCUCACUCUGUCUCCCAAGCUGGAGUGCAGUGGUACAGUCACGGCUCACUGCAGCCUCCACUUCCUGGACUCAAGUGAUCUUCUCACUUCAGCCUUCUGAGUAGCUGGGACUACAGCCCCCUCUGCAGCUCUUCAUGGGGGUCCACUCAAGUCAGAAGCCACAUUUGGGUGUGAUUCAGAGAGCUGUUUAUGCAAAACCAGCUUUGUCACCAUCAGGCAAGGCACCUGAAUUCCCACCGCAGAGAGUGUUGUGGCCGUGAGGACUUUUCUGUCACCAGCCAUUUCCAGGUAGACCCAGUGUAAUCACAAGCAUCCUUGUAAGUGGCAAAGAGGCAGAGGAGACAGCGCCAGAGAGGCAGCUGCAUGAGAAGGAUCAAGAUGUUGCUGACUUUGAAGUUGGAAGAAGAAGGCCAUGAGCCUCAGUAUGUGGGCGGCUUCUAGAAGCUGGAAGGGGCAAGGAGAUGGAUUUGACCCUUCAGCCUCCAGGGGCAGCUGUACCUGCCAUCACUGAUUGUAGCCUGGUGAGGCCUGUUUUAGACUUCUGACCUGUAGAGCUGUAACAUAAUACAUUUGGGUUGUUUUCAACCACUAAGUUUGUGGUAAUUUGUUGUAGCAGCUGUAGAAAAUGAAUACAUAUGAAUCCUCUGGCAUUUGUUUGAGAUUUGCUCUAUGGCCUAGUAUGUGGUUGUAAAUGUUCCAUCUGUGCCUGAAAAAAUGUAUAUUUCUAAUUCAGUAGUCUCUGCUUUUUUUUUUUAUUUUGUACCCCAUCAAUAAAAUGAUUUUCAGCAUGUAUCCCCAAAUAAACAAUAUUUUAUUUAUUGAUUGAUUGAUAAACAGACAUGUUUAAUGAUAGCUUGCUUUUCACAGAGGUGACUUCGGAGACUUCU
rnacentral:lncRNA from 1 species